UGGGGAAUCUUGCGCAAUGGGCGAAAGCCUGACGCAGCAACGCCGCGUGGGGGAUGAAGGCCUUCGGGUUGUAAACCCCUUUCAGCAGGAACGAAAUUGACGGUACCUGCAGAAGAAGCCCCGGCCAACUACGUGCCAGCAGCCGCGGUAAUACGUAGGGGGCGAGCGUUGUCCGGAUUCAUUGGGCGUAAAGAGCUCGUAGGCGGUUUGGCAAGUCAGGUGUGAAAACUCCAGGGCUCAACCUGGAGAGGCCACCUGAUACUGCUAUGACUUGAGUCUGGUAGGGGAGCACGGAAUUCCUGGUGUAGCGGUGAAAUGCGCAGAUAUCAGGAGGAACACCGGUGGCGAAGGCGGUGCUCUGGGCCAGUACUGACGCUGAGGAGCGAAAGCGUGGGGAGCAAACAGGAUUAGAUACCCUGGUAGUCCACGCCGUAAACGUUGGGCACUAGGUGUGGGACCUUAUCAACGGGUUCCGUGCCGUAGCUAACGCAUUAAGUGCCCCGCCUGGGGAGUACGGCCGCAA
rnacentral:rRNA from 1 species